AAUAAUUAUCUUGUUGAUUAAUUUAUCGAUUUAUUAUCUGAUUUUUUCUCCAUCACUUUUCCACCCCAUCCCCCACCGCAACAAUUUAAACCUUUCCUCAUUUGAUCUGUUUAUGUGUGUGUGUAAGAUUCGUGUUUUUUUCUUUGUGUGUGUGUGUGUGUGUGCAAGCAAAACAAUCCGAGUGAAAUUCUACACAUUCGAAUCUAUUUUAUAUUUUUUUUUCAAACCAUUGAAAUACUCAUCAUCAAUAUAUAUUUAUUGAUUGGCAACAAAAAAAAACUUGUGAAUUGCACAGCAACAAAUAUUAUAAAUAAUAAAUUUAAAUUGUAGUUGAA